rnacentral:lncRNA from 1 species
CUCUCCCAAACGCUAGUAGGCCACUGCGCAUACAGACGGCGCACCCUCCAGGGAAAAAUCAGGAAAUCAGGGACACAAGACCCCAGAAGUAUGCCAAUAUACUAAACCAUGAAACAGUUCUUGGUGACAUUCUGUGCUUCAGAGAGUGAAGAGGAAUAUGUCUACAUUCAGUCCAUUUCUGCAUGGCUGUAACCCCCACACCAUGUUCACUUAUUUCAUGGACCCAGCUCACCACCUCAUGGGAGAGCAUCAAUAAGUCUAUAUGAUGGUUUAAGUCACCUCCUGAACCUCUUCGUUACCGUGUGGUGGCUCAGUUUCCAGGGAACCGCAUCCUAAGAAAGAGCCAGAGAAGUAUCUUACGGUCUUUUAUGUCCCAGCAUCACUUUCAGAACCACAUUUUUGCCUCAAGGCAGU